rnacentral:rRNA from 4 species
GCCUUGUACACACCGCCCGUCACACCACGAGAGUUUGUAACACCCGAAGUCGGUGAGGUAACCGUAAGGAGCCAGCCGCCUAAGGUGGGAUAGAUGAUUGGGGUGAAGUCGUAACAAGGUAGCCGUAUCGGAAGGUGCGGCUGGAUCACCUCCUUU